rnacentral:hammerhead_ribozyme from 1 species
CUCUAGAUGAAGAGUCCUAGAUAGGACGUAAUGUUCAUCCUGGAU